rnacentral:rRNA from 1 species
UUGGAUUAGAUACCCUGGUAGUCCACGCUGUAAACGAUGAUUACUCGUUUUCGGCGAUAUACAGUCGGAGACUAAGCGAAAGUGAUAAGUAAUCCACCUGGGGAGUACGAUCGCAAGGUUGAAACUCAAAGGAAUUGACGGGGGCCCGCACAAGCGGUGGAGCAUGUGGUUUAAUUCGAUGAUACGCGAGGAACCUUACCAGGGCUUAAAUGCAAGUUGAAUGAUGUGGAAACAUGUCAGUCUUCGGACAAUUUGCAAGGUGCUGCAUGGUUGUCGCCAGCU